ensembl:processed_transcript F730043M19Rik RIKEN cDNA F730043M19 gene
GGGAGAGCGCGGAGUCCGGCAGGCUGAGAGCAGAGCCUGAGUGCGCCGCUGGUUCAGCCCGGCAGGGUCGCCUCGCGCCAGGAUGCUGCGCCCCGCCGCCCUGUCCAGCCAGCAACCCUGGCGCGACCCCGGGAAGAAGCACAGGUUCUUUCGUCCAGUCGCCGCUGGAGGACCGAAAGUUUUGCUCGCUGCAAGUCUCUUCCUCCCAGAGUCCCAGUCACCCACCAUGCGACGUCCCAGAAGGAUCCCGGAGGCUUAGUGGGAACGAAAUCGGCUGUUUUGCACCCCUCCAUCCUUAUCCCUCAGGGUAGAGCAGGGACUCUAGAGAGUACACCUCCCAGCUACCAUCCACUUCACCCUGUCUCCUCUCUCGGUGAGCCUUGGAAUCCGGUCUCUUCGCAGAUGCCUUCAGGAGUCAGAAGCAAAGGGGAAAUGGACAUAACUCCGAGAAACCGAGUGAACGUCCAGCCUCAGCAACAGCUUUGCCACCAUGAGCUUCAUUGAUCACACCCUACCACAACUAGGAGACCUAAACCUUGCUCACUGACAGCAUUUGAAGAUGCAAAUACUGCUAUGGAUUGGAAGGUGCCUGAGGAAUGAAAGGGGACAUAGCCAUUAUGACCCACCUCGUGAGAUUUUAGGGAAGAAAGACCAUAGUGAUUGCAUCUAUUAAGAAGCCCUUACUGACCUGCAUGGUGAGGCUCGUGUGAAAUUUCAGCAUGCGGGAGAUUGAGACAGAAGGAUCACAAGUUCAAGGCCACCCUAGGCUAUGUAUCAAGAGCUUUUUUUGAACAAAGAAAAAAGAAACGGCAGUACAUAAUUUCUCCUAAGUCCAUGGUAAUUUGUUACAGUAGCCCCAGAGCUCUCCUUGCAGAUGAAGUAGAAGCCUGGGUCUAAAGAGACUUUGGCAAUGCUUUCAAGGGAGUGUUCCAGGGUGAGUGGACUAGGAAAGAGAUAGCCCUUCAGAUCAGCCAUCCUGUGAUCUGAACCCUAAAUAUCAAGACAGCCUUGCCAACUGGAGAAAGUUUUCUUAGAGGAAGGCGCUGUCAGUGCAAAGUCCCUAUGGUGGAGUCCACGAGCCAGAACCUCUGAGGAAGGAUGGAAAGCCUCUGUCAGCGGAGGCUGCUUCUGGCUGUUUUUGUCCUGCCUUGGAGCUAACCUGGAAGUAAGCAUGUGAGGCUCUUGAUCAAGUAUGAUCAAGGAGGAUUUUUUUGGAUUCAGCUAAGGUCGUGGUUUGGGCUUUAAACUCUGCUGGCAACGUGGAACAAAACGCAUGGUUGAGAUUGACCAGGGAGGAAACUGUCUUCCUAAGUCAGCAAAGGGACCCACAUUGAGUGUAUUGUUUGUGCAAAGGCCCCAGAGCUCAACAUCAGCAGAAAAUGUGACACGACAAAGCUGUCAGCAAAGGUGACAUGCACCUGCAAUGCUUUCAAGAUCAGGGCACACCUCAAGGGCCUGGCAAGUGUGCUGCUGCCAGAGCUGUGACUGGGUAGCACAGCUUAUGGGGGUCAUAGAAACAGAUAGUUAUUCACUUAUUCAUUCAAUUAAUAAAUGUUUAAUGAACACCUAUCAAGUUCCCAACACCAACUAGACUUUGGGGAAAUAGCAGUGAGUGGGCCAUAGACGGCGAUGACUUCACAGAACUUACUGGAAAAGGACACAGCACGUUUGCUGUGUGAUUAUUAUUUUCCACUAUUAUUAAAGUUUUUCGAUUAUUAAAUUGUUGUAGUAAUAAAACAGAAAAAAGUAAUUAUAGAAAUAUAUAGUAGCUGGGUGGUGGGUGUUACACACCUUUAAUCCUAGCACUCGGGAGGCAAAGGCUGGAAGAUCUCCGAGUUAGAGGCCAACCUGGUCUACCGAGCAAGUUCUAGGACAGCCAGAGCUACAGGGAGAAACCCAGUCUCAAAAAAACAAACAAAAAUCAUAGUCUUCUGAAUUUGCUUUUUAGUUAAUAUGUCUUGAGUACCCUCUGUUCACAAAUACUCAUUUCUUUUUAAGAGCUGAGUAGUAGUCUACAUUAUGAAUGCAGCACAGUGUAACUGUGGUCUUCUUGGUAGAGCUUGUCUGUACUAUAAAUAACAUGCAAAGAAAACUACCGAGCAUGUCUUUAUGUAGCCUAUGGGCGCAUUUUUAAAGGGCAAACACAUAAAAGUGAAAUGUGGGUCAAAGGGGACUGAGUAAUUUAAUCGAGACAUUGCUAUGAUGAGCCCACAUGUCCUACACCCCCAGCAACACGGGUGCCAGGGGUGGCCAUCCUGUCCAAUGGGAAUGACAGCCACUUGUUUAAAUGAACCAUUCUAACCUCUACUUCAGCCGAUGUGAAGCAGCCUAACAGGAAGUAGUCUAAGGCCUCAUAAAGUGUGUGCUGUGACCCCAUGUGGUGUCAUGAGGCUAAAUCUGAAGGUCUCAAAGGCUUUGGCCGUAUUAAAAGCUCACUGAACAUACAACAACUAAAAAGUAGUUUUAAGCCACACAACCCAGUGCUCCUGGCAGUGCCCGGGGUUGCCGCAUCACAGGCCCUCACAAAGCCUUUCUUCUGAACACUACACCCGUAUUUUGCACCGUGUAUGACGUCACUCAGUGCUGAUGGUUCCUGCCGGGGAAGGCUCAGCUCAGAUUUGAGCUACGACUGCUGUAGAGUGCUCCACUGUGCAUACAAAGUUUUCUGCUCUUGCAGACAGGCCAGGCUGGAACUGUGGAAAACAGAGUGUUUUCCUACCGUCCUUCCUCGGCCCAUGGGUAUGAAGUUAUCGUUUCUCUGACUGUUCGCUGUUAGAAAGUUUGAUGUUAAGAAUUGUUAUUUGAGAGCUGGGUGUGGUGGCGCACACCUUUAAUCCCAGCACUCAGGAGGCAGAGGCAGGUGGAUAUCUGAAUUCAAGGCCAGCCUGGUCUACAAAGUGAGUUCCAGGACAGCCAGGGCUACACAGAGAAACCCUAUCUCAAAAAAAAAAAAAAAAAGAAUUGUUAUUUGAGUUUCAUAGAAAUCAUUCAGUGGAUUAUGGUGUGGGAGUAGGACAGAAUCUCUAAUAAUUCUGAAGGGGUCCCAGUCAUACUCCCAACAUUUUGUACUAUGCAUUCGUGAGAGGCAGCCUUCUUGGUAUUGACAGUUAUACAAUCAAAAUAUUGACCCACUCUGAAAGAUGAUGGAGGUGCUGGAGAUCCUACAAUAUCACAUAUCCAGCCAAGACUUGGUUCAUUUAUGGAAACAAGCAUGGUGUCGAAUUAUUAUGCAAACUUGCUUUAAUCGUUAAUAAAUAGUAAAAAUUACAUGUAUACUACAGAAUUGCUUUAAAAUAAAUUUCUUUAUGAUUUA